ACGAACGCUGGCGGCGUGCCUAAUACAUGCAAGUCGAACGGCUUUUCUAUGGAAGCUUGCUUCCACUGAGAAGAUAGUGGCGAACGGGUGAGUAACACGUGGGUAACCUGCCCGAUAAGAGGGGGGAUAACAUCCGGAAACGGGUGCUAAUACCGCAUAGUUUUCUUGAUCGCAUGAUUGAGAAAGGAAAGACGGCCUUUGUGCUGUCGCUUAUGGAUGGACCCGCGGCGUAUUAGUUAGUUGGUGAGGUAACGGCUCACCAAGACGAUGAUACGUAGCCGACCUGAGAGGGUGAUCGGCCACAUUGGGACUGAGACACGGCCCAAACUCCUACGGGAGGCAGCAGUAGGGAAUCUUCCGCAAUGGACGAAAGUCUGACGGAGCAACGCCGCGUGAGUGAAGAAAGGUUUUCGGAUCGUAAAACUCUGUUGUCAGAGAAGAACAAGUUGGAGAGUAACUGCUCCAGCCUUGACGGUAUCUGACCAGAAAGCCACGGCUAACUACGUGCCAGCAGCCGC
rnacentral:rRNA from 1 species